UGGGGAAUAUUGGACAAUGGGCGGAAGCCUGAUCCAGCCAUGCCGCGUGUGUGAAGAAGGCCUUUUGGUUGUAAAGCACUUUAAGCGAGGAGGAGGCUACUUGGAUUAAUACUCUAGGAUAGUGGACGUUACUCGCAGAAUAAGCACCGGCUAACUCUGUGCCAGCAGCCGCGGUAAUACAGAGGGUGCGAGCGUUAAUCGGAUUUACUGGGCGUAAAGCGUGCGUAGGCGGCUUCUUAAGUCGGAUGUGAAAUCCCUGAGCUUAACUUAGGAACUGCAGUCGAUACUGGGAAGCUAGAGUAUGGGAGAGGAUGGUAGAAUUCCAGGUGUAGCGGUGAAAUGCGUAGAGAUCUGGAGGAAUACCGAUGGCGAAGGCAGCCAUCUGGCCUAAUACUGACGCUGAGGUACGAAAGCAUGGGGAGCAAACAGG
rnacentral:rRNA from 1 species